rnacentral:rRNA from 1 species
AUGGCCAAGAAUCAAGGACCACACCCGGCAUGGAACUGCGGAAUGUGCCAGGCCAAAUGUUUCUCCAAAUCUCAGUUUGAGAAUCAUUGCAGUGGCAGCAGGCACCAGCAGAAGAUCGAGGCGAUACUCGGCAAACGCGAGACCGCGAAAGCGAGCAGCUCGAGCACUGCAAAUGAACUAGCUUCGGACUGCAAGAACGCAAGCUCAGAGAAGGCAGAGAAGAAAGCUACGCUGUACUUCUGCGAGGUCUGCAAUUUGCUGUGUGGCAGCAGUGAGAUGCUGGUAAGCCAUCGUUAUGGGAAGAGGCACCGGGAAAAGCUCAGGGCAAGGAAAUGA